UACGGAGGGUGCAAGCGUUGCUCGGAAUUAUUGGGCGUAAAGCGCACGUAGGCGGCUUGGCAAGUCGGAUGUGAAAUCCCUCGGCUCAACCAAGGAAGUGCAUCCGAAACUGCUGAGCUUGAGUACUUAAGAGGAUCGCGGAAUUCCCGGUGUAGAGGUGAAAUUCGUAGAUAUCGGGAGGAACACCAGUGGCGAGGGCGGCGAUCUGGGAAGAUACUGACGCUGAGGUGCGAAAGCGUGGGGAGCAAACAGG
rnacentral:rRNA from 1 species